GACGAACGCUGGCGGCGUGCUUAACACAUGCAAGUCGAACGGUGAAGCGCCUUCCUUUUUGGUGGGUGUGGAUGAGUGGCGAACGGGUGAGUAACACGUGAGUAACCUGCCCCCUUCUUCUGGAUAACCGCAUGAAAGUGUGGCUAAUACGGGAUAUUCUGGGUCUGUCGCAUGAUGGGUCUGGGAAAGAUAUUGUUUCGGUGGGGGAUGGGCUCGCGGCCUAUCAGCUUGUUGGUGGGGUGAUGGCCUACCAAGGCGGUGACGGGUAGCCGGCCUGUGAGGGUGGACGGUCUCACUGGGACUGAGACACGGCCCGGACUCCUACGGGGGGCAGCCGUGGGGAAUAUUGCACAAUGGGCGCAAGCCUGAUGCAGCGACGCCGCGUGAGGGAUGGAGGCCUGCGGGUUGUGAACCUCUUUCGCCAGUGAAGCAGGCCUGCCUCGUUUGUGGGUGGGUUGACGGUAGCUGGAUAAGAAGCGCCGGCUAACUACGUG
rnacentral:rRNA from 1 species